UACGUAGGGGGGCAAGCGUUGUCCGGAUUUAUUGGGCGUAAAGAGCGUGUAGGCGGCCAGACAGGUCAGCUGUGAAAACUCGAGGCUCAACCUCGAGACGUCGGUUGAAACCGUCUGGCUAGAGUCCGGAAGAGGAGAGUGGAAUUCCCGGUGUAGCGGUGAAAUGCGCAGAUAUCGGGAAGAACACCCGUGGCGAAGGCGGCUCUCUGGGACGGUACUGACGCUGAGACGCGAAAGCGUGGGGGAGCGAACAGG
rnacentral:rRNA from 1 species